CCUACGGGAGGCAGCAGUGAGGAAUAUUGGUCAAUGGACGCAAGUCUGAACCAGCCAUGCCGCGUGCAGGAAGACGGCUCUAUGAGUUGUAAACUGCUUUUGUACGGGGGUAAACGCAGAUACGCGUAUCUGUCUGAAAGUAUCGUACGAAUAAGGCUCGGCUAACUCCGUGCCAGCAGCCGCGGUAAUACGGAGGAUUCAAGCGUUAUCCGGAUUUAUUGGGUUUAAAGGGUGCGUAGGCGGUCGGAUAAGUUAGAGGUGAAAUCCCGAGGCUCAACUUCGGAAUUGCCUCUGAUACUGUUCGGCGAGAGAGUAGUGGCGGUAGGCGGAAUGUAUGGUGUAGCGGUGAAAUGCUUAGAGAUCAUACAGAACACCGAUUGCGAAGGCAGCUUACCAAGCUACUUCUGACGUUGAGGCACGAAAGCGUGGGGAGCAAACAGGAUUAGAUACCCCGGUAGUC
rnacentral:rRNA from 1 species